UUGUGUAAUUCUUGAAAAUAUUUAACCCAACUAUUUGAUCCUAAAUGUUUUCUAUUUAGGAACAAUAAGUGUGCCUAACUCGUGUCCAGCUAGUCCAAGCAGGUUGUUCAAUCCGUACAGCCAACUCUACCACAGAGGUCAUACACCGCAAGCAGAUGUACAUCAUAACCUUCAAGAUACACAAUAUGACUCUCCUAUACCUUCAGAAACACAAUAUGAGGAUAUUAAGCAGGAUUUUAAUCUGCUGAGUCAGAAUGCUGUUGUUUAUCCCACUGAAGAUGGAAGACUUUCAACGGUCCCGGUUCCUUUGAAUAACAUACAGGACGAGAGUAAGCCCCCGUUCUCCUACGCUCAGCUCAUAGUUCAAGCAAUAAGCCAGGCUUAUGAGAAACAGUUAACAUUGUCAGGUGAAUUCUUAAAAAUAAUAAA